UACGUAGGGUGCGAGCGUUGUCCGGAAUUACUGGGCGUAAAGAGCUCGUAGGUGGUUUGUCGCGUUGUCCGUGAAAACUCACAGCUCAACUGUGGGCGUGCGGGCGAUACGGGCAGACUGGAGUACUGCAGGGGAGACUGGAAUUCCUGGUGUAGCGGUGAAAUGCGCAGAUAUCAGGAGGAACACCAAUUGCGAAGGCAGCUCGCUGGAACGUAACUGACGCUGAGACGCGAAAGCGUGGGGAGCAAACAGG
rnacentral:rRNA from 1 species